AAGAAAGAAUAACAGCAGUAUAGAGGAGUGGGGGCAAAGAAAGGGAAAAGGAAAUAAAAGAAAGAAAGGAUAACAAGAGAGGUCAAACACAAAAUAUAUGUAAAAAAAAGAAAAAGGAUAACAUAUGAGAUAAGUAAGAGUAAGUAAGAGAACAAAAUGAAGAAGAAUAAAAAAAUUAGAGAAAGAACAAAAGAAGAGAUGAGAGAAAAUAAAAAGAAAGAAGAAAAUAAAAUUGGGAUAGCGAUGAGGGAAAGGAAUAGGAAGGAGCUGUAACAGAGGUACAGAGGAUGUGAGAGGUGGUAAAGAGGUAACGAAAGGUGGUACAGAGUUUGCGAGAGCUGGUACAGAUUUUGCGAGAGCUGGUACAGAGGUUGCGAGAGCUGGAACAGGGGUUGUGAGAGCUGGUACAGAGUUUGCGAGAGCUGGUACAGAGGUUGUGAGAGGUGAUACAGAGGUUGUGAGAGGUGAUACAGAGGUUGUGAGAGGUGAUACAGAGGUUGUGAGAGCUGGUACAGAGGUUGUGAGAGGUGAUACAGAGGUUGUGAGAGGUGACACAGAGGUUGUGAGAGGUAAUACAGAGGUUGUGAGAGCUGGUACAGAGGUUGUGAGAGGUGGUACAGAGGUUGUGAGAGGUGGUACAGAGGUUGUGAGAGCUGGUACAGAGGUUGUGAGAGGUGGUACAGAGGUUGUGAGAGCUGGUACAGAGGUUGUGAGAGGUGGUACAGAGGUUGCGAGACCUGGUACAGAGGUUGUGAGAGCUGGUACAGAGGUUGCGAGAGCUGGAACUGAAGAGCUGAGUUCUGCCCCUGUUUUAAUCAGACCUCAUUUUAAACAAUUAAAACUUUCUAAACCCAGAAAGUCACUGUUCUACAUUUCUUCUGCUCGGAGGGAAAUGCGUCUGAUCUCUGGAGUAAAACAGUUUCAUUACAACAAGAUGAAUUCCUCUCUACUGAUUCAGUGAAUGAAGAUGUUGUGAUGUUUGUAUGUUUCUCAAGAAAAAGGUAUUAAAUAUUAAGUUAAUGUUUGUGCUGUUUGUUAUUCUUUAACUAACUGAUUUUGUUGUAAAUUAUUAGUUAAAUUAGCUACACUUAAACUGACCAAAAAUGUACAUAUUGUAAAAAUAAUAACUUUGUUUCAGAUUUGUAGUAAAGUUUAUUGUUUGCUGUAAAUGUCCAUAUUUGUUGUAAAGUUUAAUGUUGGUAAAGUUACAGAC